rnacentral:rRNA from 1 species
GACGAACGCUGGCGGCGUGCUUAACACAUGCAAGUCGCACGAGGACGGGAGCUUGCUCCCGAGCCGAGUGGCGGACGGGUGAGUAACACGUGACCAACCUGUCCUAGGGUGAGGGACAACCUGGGGAAACCCGGGCUAAUACCGCAUGAUGUCUCGAGGUCGCAUGGCCUUGAGAUCAAAGAGGGCCUCUGCUUGCAAGCUCUCGCCCUGGGAGGGGGUCGCGGCGUAUCAGCUAGUUGGUGAGGUAACGGCCCACCAAGGCUACGACGCGUAGCGGGUCUGAGAGGACGACCCGCCUCAUUGGGACUGAGAUACGGCCCAGACUCCUACGGGAGGCAGCAGUGGGGAAUAUUGCGCAAUGGACGAAAGUCUGACGCAGCGACGCCGCGUGUGGGAGGAAGCUCUUCGGGGUGUAAACCACUGUCAGGAGGGAAGAAACUCGCCGUACCGAAUAGGGCCGGCGAUUGACGGUACCUCCAAAGGAAGCGCCGGCUAACUCCGUGCC